UGGGGGAUAACGCUCGGAAACGGACGCUAAUACCGCAUACGCUCCUACGGGAGAAAGCAGGGGACCUUCGGGCCUUGCGCUAUCAGAUGAGCCUAGGUCGGAUUAGCUAGUUGGUGAGGUAAUGGCUCACCAAGGCGACGAUCCGUAACUGGUCUGAGAGGAUGAUCAGUCACACUGGAACUGAGACACGGUCCAGACUCCUACGGGAGGCAGCAGUGGGGAAUAUUGGACAAUGGGCGAAAGCCUGAUCCAGCCAUGCCGCGUGUGUGAAGAAGGUCUUCGGAUUGUAAAGCACUUUAAGUUGGGAGGAAGGGCAGUUACCUAAUACGUGAUUGUUUUGACGUUACCGACAGAAUAAGCACCGGCUAACUCUGUGCCAGCAGCCGCGGUAAUACAGAGGGUGCAAGCGUUAAUCGGAAUUACUGGGCGUAAAGCGCGCGUAGGUGGUUCGUUAAGUUGGAUGUGAAAUCCCCGGGCUCAACCUGGGAACUGCAUUCAAAACUGUCGAGCUAGAGUAUGGUAGAGGGUGGUGGAAUUUCCUGUGUAGCGGUGAAAUGCGUA
rnacentral:rRNA from 1 species